rnacentral:sRNA from 1 species
CUGUGGCGCAUCCUCAGUGAGGAGGGCCGACCUGCACCCGUCGCCGGCCCCGGUCUCCAGGGGCUUCACCCGAGUCAUGCCCCGCUAUUGCGCAGCGAUUUGUUGUAAGAACCGCCGGGGACGAAACAAUAAAGACCGGAAGCUGAGUUUUUAUCCGGAAAAGACCCUUCUAAAAAAAAAUCCCAGAAGAAAAACUUGGAAGAUGAGAAAGAAGUAUGCCCAAAAGCCAAGUCAGAAGAAUCAUUUGUAUUAAAUGAGACAAAGAAAAAUAUAGUUAACACAGAUGUGCCCCAUCAACAUCCAGAAUUACUUCAUUCAUCUUCCUUGGUAAAGCCACCAGCUCCCAAAACAGGAAGUAUACAAAAUAACAUGUUAACUCUUAAUCUAGUUAAACAACAUACUGGGAAACCAGAAUCUAUCUUGGAAACAUCAGUUAACCAAGAUACAGGUAGAGGUGGUUUUCACACAUGUUUUGAGAAUCUAAAUUCUACAACUAUUACUUUGACAACUUCAAAUUCAGAAAGUAUUCAUCAAUCUUUGGAAACUCAAGAAGUUCUUGAAGUAACUACCAGUCAUCUUGCUAAUCCAAACUUUACAAGUAAUUCAAUGGAAAUAAAGUCAGCACAGGAAAAUCCAUUCUUAUUCAGCACAAUUAAUCAAACAGUUGAAGAAUUAAACACAAAUAAAGAAUCUGUUAUUGCCAUUUUUGUACCUGCUGAAAAUUCUAAACCCUCAGUUAAUUCUUUUAUAUCUGCACAAAAAGAAACCACGGAAAUGGAAGACACAGACAUUGAAGACUCCUUGUAUAAGGAUGUAGACUAUGGGACAGAAGUUUUACAAAUCGAACAUUCUUACUGCAGACAAGAUAUAAAUAAGGAAC